GCCCGGGUGGCGAAAUUGGUAGACGCACCAUCUUGAGGGGGUGGCGCCGUAAGGUGUACGAGUUCGAAUCUCGUCCCGGGCA
rnacentral:tRNA from 1 species